rnacentral:rRNA from 1 species
GUAGGUGGCAAGCGUGUCCGGAAUUAUUGGGCGUAAAGCGCGCGCAGGCGGUUCUUUAAGUCUGAUGUGAAAGCCCACGGCUCAACCGUGGAGGGUCAUUGGAAACUGGAGAACUUGAGUACAGAAGAGGAAAGCGGAAUUCCACGUGUAGCGGUGAAAUGCGUAGAGAUGUGGAGGAACACCAGUGGCGAAGGCGGCUUUCUGGUCUGUAACUGACGCUGAGGCGCGAAAGCGUGGGGAGCAAACAGGAUUAGAUACCCUGGUAGUCCACGCCGUAAACGAUGAGUGCUAAGUGUUAGGGGGUUUCCGCCCCCCUUAGUGCUGCAGCUAACGCAUUAAGCACUCCGCCUGGGAGUACGGCCGCAAGGCUG